UACGUAGGGGCUAGCGUUGUCCGGAAUCAUUGGGCGUAAAGAGCGUGUAGGCGGUCCGGUAAGUCCGCUGUGAAAGUCGGGGGCUCAACCCUCGAAUGCCGGUGGAUACUGUCGGGCUAGAGUGCGGAAGAGGCGAGUGGAAUUCCCGGUGUAGCGGUGAAAUGGCGCAGAUAUCGGAGGAACACCAAUGGCGAAGGCAGCUCGCUGGGACGGUACUGACGCUGGAGGCGCGAAAGCGCGGGGAGCGAACGGG
rnacentral:rRNA from 1 species